rnacentral:rRNA from 1 species
AGAGCGAACGCUGGCGGCAGGCCUAAUACAUGCAAGUCGAACGCACCUUCGGGUGAGUGGCGGACGGGUGAGUAACACGUGGGAACGUGCCCUUUGGUUCGGAAUAAUCCGGGGAAACCUGGCCUAAUACCGGAUGAGCCCUUCGGGGGAAAGAUUUAUCGCCAUUGGAGCGGCCCGCGUCUGAUUAGCUAGUUGGUGGGGUAAAGGCCCACCAAGGCUACGAUCAGUAGCUGGUCUGAGAGGAUGAUCAGCCACACUGGGACUGAGACACGGCCCAGACUCCUACGGGAGGCAGCAGUAGGGAAUCUUGCGCAAUGGGGGAAACCCUGACGCAGCCAUGCCGCGUGAAUGAUGAAGGUCUUAGGAUUGUAAAAUUCUUUCAGCGGGGAAGAUAAUGACUGUACCGCAGAAGAAGCUCCGGCUAACUUCGUGCCAGCAGCCGC